CUCCACCUUAACUCUAACCUCAGCCUGACACACUCAGCAUUGUAUACAAUCUUUCAGCUCAGUAGUUGUAGUUGGUAUUGCAGCACUAUAACGCCCGCCAAAAUCCAAAUCUGUUUAAAAUCAUUCAUGUCGGGUGUUGUGUGCCCGUGAUUGCUUUCACCAACCAGAGCUUUGACAGUUGGAAAAUGGAUGCGUUGUCUUCCUGCAUAGUGACCUCCCUCCAUGAAAAUGGCAGCGGGUGCAGAUGAGAUGGGUGCAGCUGUACGGGCUGGAUCCCGGAGAGCUCACACUGUAUACGGUACACCAGCUCUCCUGCCUGCCUGCAUCUCCUCAAACCAUCACUCUUUGCAAAUGCAUGAACAUCUUACCAUUAAACAUUUAAAUGUC